UACGUAGGGUGCAAGCGUUGUCCGGAAUUAUUGGGCGUAAAGAGCUCGUAGGCGGUUUGUUGCGUCGGCUGUGAAAUCCCGAGGCUCAACCUCGGGUCUGCAGUGGGUACGGGCAGACUGGAGUGCGGUAGGGGAGAAUGGAAUUCCUGGUGUAGCGGUGGAAUGCGCAGAUAUCAGGAGGAACACCGAUGGCGAAGGCAGUUCUCUGGGUCGUAACUGACGCUGAGGAGCGAAAGCGUGGGGAGCGAACAGG
rnacentral:rRNA from 1 species